GCGAGUGAAGCGGCAACAGCUCAAAUUUGAAAGCUAGCCUUCGGGUUCGCAUUGUAAUUUGUAGAGGAUGCUUUGGGUAAAACGCCAGUCUAAGUUCCUUGGAACAGGACGUCAUAGAGGGUGAGAAUCCCGUAUGUGACUGGAAAUGUUAACCUAUGUAAAGCUCCUUCGACGAGUCGAGUUGUUUGGGAAUGCAGCUCUAAAUGGGAGGUAAAUUUCUUCUAAAGCUAAAUAUUGGCGAGAGACCGAUAGCGCACAAGUAGAGUGAUCGAAAGAUGAAAAGCACUUUGGAAAGAGAGUUAAAAAGCACGUGAAAUUGUUGAAAGGGAAGCGCUUGCAAUCAGACUUGUUUAAACUGUUCGGCCGGUCUUCUGACCGGUUUACUCAGUUUGGACAGGCCAGCAUCAGUUUCGGCGGCCGGAUAAAGGCAUUGGGAAUGUGGCCUUCACUUCGGUGGAGGUGUUAUAGCCCAGUGUGUAAUACGGCCAGCCGGGACUGAGGUCCGCGCUUCGGCUAGGAUGCUGGCGUAAUGGUUGUAAGCGACCC
rnacentral:rRNA from 1 species